UACAGGGGGGCGAAGCGUUGUUCGGAAUUACUGGGCGUAAAGGGUCUGUAGGUGGCCAACUAAGUCAGACGUGAAAUCCCUCAGCUUAACUGGGGAACUGCGUCUGAUACUGGAUGGCUCGAGUGUGGGAGAGGAAUGCGGAAUUCCAGGUGUAGCGGUGAAAUGCGUAGAUAUCUGGAGGAACACCGGUGGCGAAGGCGGCAUUCUGGACCAUAACUGACACUGAGAGACGAAAGCCAGGGGAGCAAACGGG
rnacentral:rRNA from 1 species